rnacentral:rRNA from 1 species
CCAGACUCCUACGGGAGGCAGCAGUGAGGAAUAUUGGUCAAUGGCCGAGAGGCUGGACCAGCCAAGUCGCGUGAGGGAAGACGGCCCUACGGGUUGUAAACCUCUUUUGUCAGGGAACAAAGGCGGGGACGCGUCCCCGGAUGAGUGUACCUGAAGAAAAAGCAUCGGCUAACUACGUGCCAGCAGCCGCGGUCAUACGUAGGAUCCGAGCAUUAUCCGGAGUGACUGGGUGUAAAGAGUUGCGUAGGUGGCAUAAUAAGUAGCUAGUGAAAUCUGGUGGCUCAACCAUUCAGACUAUUAGCUAAACUGUUAAGCUCGAGACCGUUAGGGGUAACUGGAAUUUCUAGUGUAGGAGUGAAAUCCGUAGAUAUUAGAAGGAACACCAAUAGCGUAGGCAGGUUGCUGGGACGGUUCUGACACUAAGGCACGAAAGCGUAGGGAGCAAACGGGAUUAGAUACCCUGGUAC